rnacentral:rRNA from 1 species
AGCGAACGCUUUCCUCCUUCCUAACACAUGCAAGUCGAACGAACCUUUCGGGGUUAGUGGCGGACGGGUGAGUAACACGUGGGAACGUGCCUUUAGGUUCGGAAUAACUCAGGGAAACUUGUGCUAAUACCGAAUGUGCCCUUCGGGGGAAAGAUUUAUCGCCUUUAGAGCGGCCCGCGUCUGAUUAGCUAGUUGGUUGAGGUAAUGGCUCACCAAGGCGACGAUCAGUAGCUGGUCUGAGAGGAUGAUCAGCCACAUUGGGACUGAGACACGGCCCAAACUCCUACGGGAGGCAGCAGUGGGGAAUCUUGCGCAAUGGGCGAAAGCCUGACGCAGCCAUGCCGCGUGAAUGAUGAAGGUCUUAGGAUUGUAAAAUUCUUUCACCGGUGACGAUAAUGACGGUACCCGGAGAAGAAGCCCCGGCUAACUUCGUG